rnacentral:misc_RNA from 1 species
AAGUCGGUAACAAGGUCUCCGUAGGUGAACCUGCGGAGGGGAUCAUUAACAGGAGCUCAUGCCUAACGGGUCAGAUCUCCACCCGUAUGUUAUCAUUACCAUGUUGCUUUGGCGGGCCGUCAGGCUCACGCUCGGCUACCGGCUCCGGCUGGUAAGCGCCCGCCAGAGGACCUCAAACCCUGAAUACUCGUGUCGUCUGAGUAUCAUAUAAUAGUUAAAA